CACGUAGGGUGCGAGCGUUGUUCGGAAUCACUGGGCGUAAAGCGCGUGUAGGCGGCCCAUUAAGUCUGAUGUGAAAGCCCGGGGCUCACCCCCGGAAGUGCAUUGGAAACUGUUGGACUCGAGUCCCGGAGAGGAGAGUGGAAUUCCUGGUGUAGCGGUGAAAUGCGUAGAUAUCAGGAGGAACACCGGUGGCGAAGGCGGCUCUCUGGACGGUGACUGACGCUGAGACGCGAAAGCGUGGGGAGCAAACAGG
rnacentral:rRNA from 1 species